AAAGCAGGCCGUUCUAUCGCUGUCCUGAAAAGGAGAGAGGAAAGUCCGGGCAACAUAGGGCAUCGUGCUUCCUAACGGGAAGAUAUCCGAAAGGAUAUAGUAAUGUAACAGAAAAAAACCGUUCCCUCCGUGGAAUAAGGGUGAAAAGGCGGGGUAAGAGCCCACCGGUAUUCCGGGUAACCGGAGUAGCCGUACAUCUCACGAGUUGCAAGACCAUGUACACUAACGCUUAGGCCGGCCCGGCUGAUGUUAGGGGGUAGGUCGCUUGAGCUGUGGAGAGAUCUGCAGACUAGAUAAAUGAUAGAAACCGCAAGGUACGGAACCCGGCUUACAGGCCUGCUUUUUUU
rfam:Porphyromonadaceae bacterium OTH 308042 contig43, whole genome shotgun sequence.